AGGGACGAUAAGACCCUAUAAAGCUUUACAAUUAUUUAAUUAGAUUAUAAAUUGUUGGUAUAACUUGAUUUAAUUAAUAUUUGUUUCGUUGGGGCGACGAGAAUAAAAUUAAAAUAACUGUUCUUUUAUUAGUAGUUACAAAUUUGUUUGGUUAAAAAUUGAUCCUUUAUUAGAGAUCAAAAGAUUAAGUUACUUUAGGGAUAACAGCGUAAUUCUCUUUGAGAGUCCAUAUCGACAAGAGGGGUUGCGACCUCGAUGUUGAAUUAAAGUAUCCUCGUGGUGUAGCAGUUGCAGAGGAGGGUCUGUUCGACCUUUAAUUCUUUACGUGAUC
rnacentral:rRNA from 1 species